GGGAGUUACGCUUUCAUUUCUCUCACAAAAUUUUGCCUGCACGGAGAGAAGCGAAGAUUUGGCCGGACUCCUGCUGUGAGGAAGGGGCACACCUGGGUUACAGCUCAGCCGUCCUCCAGCAGAGCCCUUCUGCUCCGGGUGCCAGGUCCUGACCCAGUAGGUUCCUCUCACUCAGCGGGUCUGGAGAGAUGCAGCGACUCCGGGAGGACGUCACCUGCUCCAUCUGCCUGGAUGUCUUGAAUGACCCCGUCUCCAUCGAGUGUGGCCACAACUUCUGCCGGGGCUGCCUCGCGGCUCACUGGCACAUGGUCUCAGCCUGGGGGUCCCAGUGCCCUGAGUGCCGGGCUCCCUGCUCCAGGGACAGGAUGACCCCAGACACACGCCUCAGAGCCCUGGUGGAAAAAAUCACAGCACCCCUGCGGGACGAGAUGGAGCCGGUGAGACUGGACAGGCUGAAUCAGGGGAAAGGGCGCAGGCUCCCACAGGCCGCAGCAGGGGCCGGGGGCUCAGCCAGAGCCGGGGCGCCCGGUGCAGCUGGUGCGUCUGGAUGAGGAAGGGGGUCUGACCUUGGACGAGGAGGCCCUGAGCCGCUGCCUGGAGCAGGGUGGGG